rnacentral:rRNA from 1 species
GAUGAACGCUGGCGGCGUGCCUAAUACAUGCAAGUCGAGCGAACGGACGAGAAGCUUGCUUCUCUGAUGUUAGCGGCGGACGGGUGAGUAACACGUGGAUAACCUACCUAUAAGACUGGGAUAACUUCGGGAAACCGGAGCUAAUACCGGAUAAUGUUUUGAACCGCAUGGUUCAAAAGUGAAAGACGGUCUUGCUGUCACUUAUAGAUGGAUCCGCGCUGCAUUAGCUAGUUGGUAAGGUAACGGCUUACCAAGGCAACGAUGCAUAGCCGACCUGAGAGGGUGAUCGGCCACACUGGAACUGAGACACGGUCCAGACUCCUCGGGAGGCAGCAGUAGGGAAUCUUCCGCAAUGGGCGAAAGCCUGACGGAGCAACGCCGCGUGAGUGAUGAAGGUCUUCGGAUCGUAAAACUCUGUUAUUAUGGAAGAACAUAUGUGUAAGUAACUGUGCACAUCUUGACGGUACCUAAUCAGAAAGCCACGGCUAACUACGU